rnacentral:miRNA from 8 species
UGGCACAGGGUCCAGCUGUCGGCC